GGGCCUGUAAUAUAACGGCUAUUAUACACCGCUGGCAGCGGUGAGACCCGAGUUCAAUUCUCGGCAGGUCCA
rnacentral:tRNA from 1 species